CAGCCCACAGUGCAUUGAUGCUUCCCCUCACUCCCACCCCCACACUGUGUGAGACAGGACCUUUAUUGGUGCUUUUUAUGAUUUCCUGGUAAGGUGUAUAUGUCUCCCUUCUGGCACUUUAGAGCAGAGGUGAGACCUGAGCUCCUAUAAACCACCAACACCAGGAAGUUGAACAAGUCCCUCUCUCCACAUAAAGAGUGCAGAAAAAGCAGAGCAGUAAUUCAGCCAUGCUUUCAGGGAUUCCCCCCCAUGUUUCCUUUCAUCUGAGCUGCCACUCUCCCUCUCCCUCACAGUGCUGUGCUCCUCCUUGUCCUGCCUGUGCUAUCCAUGGCAUUUGCAGGCAGGCACUGGAUUAAGGGAAAAGCACCCAGGAGCUUUGCUGCUAUUGUCCAUCCCACAGGCUGUCUGUUCACAGUUUAACCAUUCUAAUCCCUGCUUUGUGGGCAGAUGUGCCUUCAGCCACACAGGAGACGAGUUGGAAGGAUCUUACACAACUGUUUCAAGCCAGGGCUUAGAAGUACUGGGGUAUCAGGGACCUCAGAGGGCCACACUGAGACACUGAUGGACACAAACAGAGCCAGCUCCAGGGAAGUGAGAAAGCUAUAUUUACUCUAGUUCAAGUGCUUUGACUCUCAGCAGAUCAAGUGCAGCAUAAAUCCCCAAGCCUCCCAAAGAGAGCGUGUGGACUAUGAACUCAUCAACCCCUGUGCACCAUCAGCCCUGGAUUGCCCCCCACAUCCCAGCCCCGGAUACACCACUCCAUGCAAGCUGGGAAAACAGCUGGGAGCCUCCAAGGCUCUGCUCAUCUCUCAGAUAAUGCUUUCAUUUCAGUGAGGGAAGCUGCAGACACGAGAGACUGAUGGCAGACUGGAGGAAAAAGAAAAAAAAAAAAAAACCACAACAACAAGGAAACAAGUGAAAAAAACCACUUACAAAAAUAAAG